GCUUCUUUAGCUCAGUUGGUUAGAGCGCUGCACCGGAAUCGCAGGGCGUAGGUUCAAUUCCUACCAGAGGAC
rnacentral:tRNA from 1 species